rnacentral:pre_miRNA from 1 species
UUUCUACUCCCUCCAUCCGAAAAUACUUGUCAUCAAAAUGGAUAAAAAGAAAUGUAUCUAAAACUAAAAUACGUCUAGAUACAUUUCCUUUUAUCCAUUUUGAUGACAAGUAUUUCCGGACGGAGGGAGUAUUUG